rnacentral:rRNA from 1 species
GGACGAACGCUGGCGGCGUGCUUAACACAUGCAAGUCGAACGGAAAGGCUCCAGCUUGCUGGAGUGCUCGAGUGGCGAACGGGUGAGUAACACGUGGGCAAUCUGCCCUGCACUCUGGGAUAAGCCUGGGAAACUGGGUCUAAUACCGGAUAGGACCUUUCUCCUCAUGGGGUUUGGUGGAAAGUUUUUCGGUGCAGGAUGAGCCCGCGGCCUAUCAGCUUGUUGGUGGGGUAAUGGCCUACCAAGGCGACGACGGGUAGCCGGCCUGAGAGGGUGAUCGGCCACAUUGGGACUGAGAUACGGCCCAGACUCCUACGGGAGGCAGCAGUGGGGAAUAUUGCACAAUGGGCGAAAGCCUGAUGCAGCGACGCCGCGUGAGGGAUGACGGCCUUCGGGUUGUAAACCUCUUUCAGUAGGGACGAAGCGCAAGUGACGGUACCUGCAGAAGAAGCACCGGCUAACUACGUG